AGAAGAGUUGAUUUGGUAUCAAAAAAGUAGAAGUAACUGGUUUCAGUUUGGAGACAAAAAUACUUCUUAUUUCCAUUUAAAAACUGUUAAAAGGAGGAAACGAAAUCGUAUUGAAAUGUUGAAAGAUGCUUCUGGGAAUUGGGUAAAGAACUAGGGGCAGUUGAAAGCUAUGGUGAUGGAGUUCUAUGCUAAUCUUUAUAGUAAGGACGUAGAUGUUUUCCCUGCCUAUCCGAUCAGAGAUAUGUUUCCUUGCCAUGCUAAUGCUUUUAGCCAUUUGAUGGAUAUUGUUACUAAUGAAGGGGUGCAAGAAGCUAUUUUUAGUAUGAAGCCUUGGAAGGUCCUUAGGUGUGAUGGGUUUCAGGCAAGAUUUUUCCAAUCCUAAUAGAGUGUGGUGGGUCCCAUGAUUUGCUAGGAGGUUUAUAAAGUGAUUAGAGGAGAUUUGAUUGAAGGUGUCAUGAAUAAUACACUAUUAUGUUUGAUUCCCAAAGUGGAAAGUCUACAAAAUCUAAGUCAGUUUAGACCAAUCAGCCUCUGCUUUGUGAUGUAUAAAUUCAUUGUGAAGGUAAUUGUGAACAAGUUGAAAGGUUGUCUCCCGAAGAUAGUGUAACCUACGCAAACUAGUUUUGUGCUGGGUAGACAUAUCAGUGAUAACAUGGUGAUCAUGCAGGGAGUUAUUCACAGUAUGAGGAAAAAGAAAGGUAAGAAAGGUUUGAUGGCUAUCAAGGUUGAUUUGGAAAAGGCAUACGACAGAGUUAGUUGGGAUUUCCUUUAUGAUACAUUGGUUGAAAUUGGUUUUCCUAUGGAUUUUCUUAAUUUAAUUAUGAAGUAUGUGUCCUCUGUUUUGAUGAAGCUAUUAUGAAAUUAGGAGUGAUGAAAUUUUUUUUAUCCGAGCAAUUGUAUUCGGCAGGGGGAUUCACUCUUCCCGUAUCUUCUUGUGUUGUGCAUGGACUGAUUGGGUCAUGGUAUUAAUGUUGAGGUGCAGAAGGGAAACUGGAAGCCUAUUAGGUUGAACCAUGGCAGUCCCUCUCUUACUCACUUGUUUUUUGCAGACGAUUUGAUUUUGUUUAUAGAGGCUAAGCAAUGUCAGGUGGAAGUGAUAAGGGGUUUUUUGCAGGACUUAUCAAUGCUCACAAUAAAGUGUGAGUUUUAGUAAGACAAAGGUAUUUUUUUCCAAAAAUGUUGCUUCUACUUUGAGGCGUGAGCUUAACAGGAAUUUGGGGAUUUCGGAGACCUCAGAUUUGCAAAAGUAUUUAGGUGUGCCUGUUAUUCAUUCUCGAGUUAAGAAGAGUAUGUAUGGAUAUAUUCUUAAGAAUUUAAAUAGGAGAUUAUCCAACUGGAAUGCAUCUCAAUUUUCUUUAGCUGGAAGAGUUACACUUGCUCGAUCAGUGCUAUCUGCUAUGCCCAUUUAUGUUAUGCAGUCCACUAAACUCCCUGUUUUAGUUUGUCAGCAAAUUCCCUUUCAUUUAUGGCACAUCGAAAGGUAAUAGGAGGAUUACUUUGGUGUCAUGGGAUAAAGUAGCAUUGCCAUAGAAAGAGGACUUGGAUUGCGAAACAUGAUGGAUUUAAAUAGACCUUUCCUUAUGAAAUUGACUUGGGGAGUUGUGUCUAACUCUGAAGCUCUUUGGGUCCAAGUGCUAAAAGGGAAGUAUAAUUAUGGUAGCGAGAUUGUUGCUCGUUCUAUUUAUCGGGCAAGGUGUUCAAAUGUCUGAAGGGGUAUUGUAAUUAUUUGGGAUAUGUUAAAAGCUAAUUUGAAAUGGAGUUUGGGCAAUGGCAGUGUGGUUAGAUUUUGGAAAGAUUGUUGGCUUCUGGAUAAUAUUGUUGUUAGGGAAAUGGCUUUGACGGACAUUCCGGAUUAUAUGUUGGAUUUGAAAGUUGCAGAUUUUGUUGAUGAAUUAGGGUGUUGGAAGGGGGAUUAUUUCUUUGCCUUGUUACCUAAAGAGAUCCUUGAUGUUUUUGUAGUCAUUCUUCUCCUAUCUGAUUGGGAAGGGGAGGAUGUAAUUUGUUGGGCAGUGCUAAGAAUGUAAUUUUUGUAAUGAC
rnacentral:misc_RNA from 1 species